UGCAGGCAUUCUUACUUGUCUUGAUGGGUAUAUGAACAUAGCUAUGGAGCAAACAGAAGAGUACGUAAAUGGCCAGCUAAAGAACAAAUAUGGCGAUGCUUUUAUCCGUGGAAACAACGUUCUUUACAUCAGCACAACGCAAGGGAAUUUGGCAGAUGGAGCCUAGCUCUGUUUCAUCACCAUGGAAUGAAUGGGGAUCAUCUUCUUCUACCUCUGGCAUUUGACAAUGUUAGGAUUUAUAGCAACCAGAGAUUUUAUUAUUCAUCUCUGAAUCAAUUCGAAAUGUCUUUUUCUUCUUCUUACAACUCUGCUACACUCAGUCUGUGUCUGUGAAUCAUCUCCAAAAUUCUGAGAAAGAGUUCGACUUGUGUUUGAUAACAAGAAAAAUCUUAAUCAUCGCUGUUCCCUUAUUA